rnacentral:lncRNA from 1 species
UUAGCCGCGCCCGCGGCCCCUCCCACGUGACCGUCCCGCGCCGAGCAUCCUGGGACUUGUAGUUUUCUGGAGGCAGCAGAGCCCGGAAAGCCUGAGGCCGGGGGCGGCCGAGACCGCAAUUCCCGUCACGGAGUGCGUCCUCUAGCGCGGGGCGGAAGACCCGCGAAGUGUUCAAGCGGCCGCAGAGCGGCCCAGAGUUCGCAGGUCUGGGGCUCUCUUCCCAGAGAGCUCGUAGGGGAGGACAGUCAAGGGACUCAAGCGUCUCUCUUGACUCCCCUUCUCUCGCUGUGCAGUGGCGGCGCCGAGGGGUCGACGCUCAGGGCUAAUCUCUAUGAGUCACCCUCGAGGCCCCGGGUAAUAUUGGGUGGAUCACAAGAACUAAUCUUUCAUGAUUUGGAAACCGGAAGGAAAGAAGCACUUUUGUAGCUGACUUACCUCAAUGACAUGACCAGUGUCUGAGCCUACAACUGCGCUAUCUUCCCUGGAUUUUUCUUCACCUUUUCCUUACUCAUGAGCCAGUUAAGUGAAGUUGAACCUAACCCUAGCCGAAAGAGCACUGUUGUCUGAAUGCAACCGCAGGACACUGAGAAGCUGGAUAAGCACUCUCUUAGUGCUCUGUGUUGGAUUUGUGUAUGGCUUGGAUCACACUCCCUACCCUAACCUUGAUUCCAGAGAGUUGGGCCAGCUCAGGGUGGGGUGUAGGAGGAUACACUGUAUACACUCUGACAGUAUAUGUGUCUCCUCAACAUUCAGAGGCCACAUGGCAGGGCAGAUGUCCAUUAACUAUCUUGGGCUUAUCACAUCUCUUUAAUAAACAACAGUGGGGACAGAUAGUGCCCUACAGGCAUAUUACAGGGAAGACUUGAUGAAAUUUAGCAUUGUUUAUUGUCUGUCUUACAAACAAUGCACUUAGAUUUUUACCAUGAAACUAGCAGUAGAGUCCCUGAAGCUCAAGUUUAAAAAGCCUCAAGUCAAACGAUAUAUAUAUAUAUAUUUGUAAUUUUGUUAUGUGUUGGAGAGUUGACAUCAGCUGGCAUAUAUGACUGUCCAUACCAGCUGUUAUAUUAUUAAAAUAAUUUCGGCCGGGCACGGUGGUUCAUGCCUGUAAUCCCAGCACUUUGGGAGGCCAAGGCGGGCAGAUCACGAGGUCAGGAGAUCGAGACUAUCCUGGCUAACACGGUGAAACCCCGUCUCUACUAAAAAUACAAAAAAUUAGCUGGGCGUGGUGGCAGGUGCCUGUACUCCUAACUAAUCAGGAGGCUGAGGCAGGAGAAUGGUGUGAACCUGGGAGGCGGAGCUUGCAGUGAGCUGAGAUCGCACCACUGCAUUCCAGCCUGGGCAACAGAGCAAGACUCUGUCUAAAAAAAAAUAAUAAAAUAAUAAUAAUUUUAUACUGAUUGGGAAAUAGCUAUUGUUCAACCUCCCCAACACCAGGCUCCUCCCUUUGGGCCUUCUAGACCCCUACAUGAACCAGCAAGUAAGAGGUGAAUGCUUGACAGCAGGGAUCUUCCUGGAUUUAGUCACUACCCAUUUGCAAAGUUAGGCAUUUGAGCCUAUGGUGUUGUUGACAAAAAGAGUCAAACUCUAUAAAAUAUUUGAAGAGAUUUAAACUGAGCCAAAUAUAAGUGGCCAUGGCCCAUGACUCAGCUUUCAGGAGAUCCUGAGAACAUGUGCCCAAAGUGGUCAGGGGUGCAGCCUGGUUUUAUACAUCUUAGGGACAUGUGAGACAUCAAUGAAAUACAUUUAAGGUAUAUGUUGGAUUGCUGUAGACUUAGAGAAGGAAUUAUAGAUGCUUUUAUGCAUUUUGUUUAGCUCAGAGUUUCUUGAGAGUUAAGAGGGGAAGAAAAGAAAUAAAUGGAUUUUAGAAUGUAAGACUGACUUUGGAAGAGAAUCUAUAGUUGGAUAAUAAAACUAGGUGUUGAAAGGGAAGUAUUGAUCAGAGGAGGAUCCAGAAAGGCAGGGCAACUCGAAGUGGAGGUGGGGUGUGGAAUGGGGUGGGGCUUUUAAGUUAUAGGUAGAUUAAAAAUUUUUUGGGUUGGCAACUGGUUGAAAAAGUUAUUGUCAAUAGAAAGGAAUAUCUGGGUUAAGAUAAGAGGUUGUGGAGACUAAAGUUUUAUCAUGCAGAUGAAGCUUCCAGGUAGCAGGCUUCAGAGAGAAUAAAUUGUAACUGUUUAUCAGACUUAAGGUCCUGUUAAUGUUAAAUGCUGGUUGGCUUUUCCUGAAUUCAAAAGGGAGGAGGACAUAAUGAGGCAUGUCUGAUCCCCUCUCCAGCCCCUGAAUCAUGGCCUGAACCAGUCUUUCAGAUUAAAUUUAGAGGACCCUGGCCUAGAGGAGGAAGUCUAUUCACAUAGUUGUGGGGCAUUCACAUUUUAUUCCUGGAUUAUAGUGUCAUUAUCCCAGCAGUAAGUUACUGCCGUCCAAUAUUUAUCCGUAGUUUGAUUGAAACAGUAUACAGGGGAUAUCGCUCCAGGCAGUUUAUAGUUCACCCCUGGAUCAAAUCAGAUCCACAGAGAAACUGAGAAUGUGUAUUGCAUUUCAAUUAGCCUCUGCUACCCCUUGUCACCCUGAGAACUGGUCUUGCUGAAUUGUCAUGCAAUCAGCAUGACAAUGUGAUGUCAUCAGUCUGUGCUGUCAACAGCCUGGGCUGAGAGACAGGGAGGGAAACAGCACAAAUGACACUCAUUGUCAUCUGUCUUUUAGGAAUGUUGUCAAGGAUGUGUUUUUUUUAUAUCAUGGUUUCUAUUUAUGAGGAUACUCAGAGAACUGCCUAACUGCUUUUCGAUGUAAGAACAAUUGUAUUACUCCUGAGAAACUGUUCUCUUUUUAACUUUACAAAUCUCUUUGUAAGUGUCUAGUUUUCCCUUCUCCUUGUUUUUGUAGGUAGACUUACAUCUAUUCUGGUAUGAAGCAGAGAAUAAAUAAAUAAAUUAAGUUAAAUUAAAUGAAUCAUAUCAUAUUUAAAUGAAAUUAUGAAAAAACUCAAAGCCCAUGAUCAAAGAAACCUAAAUACGUAAGCAUUUCGCAUUUUUUUCCUCAGUGGAAUUUCAGUAUUAACUUAUCACAAUUAUACUAAUUAUGAUACUCAAUUUUAAAAGCUCUGGAAUGAAAAUAAUAACUAACUGAAGAGAAUAUUCUCUUUAAAUUCAUAUGUUCACAGACAUAUAAGCUCUUUUUUAUUACCAUAUUUUUACAGAUAAACACUUCAGCACAGUCAAGGCCUUGCACAAUUAAAUUUGGAAACUUUGCUUCAAUUCUAAGGGAGGCACAGUAUGAAUGUUUUUGCAGGCUUUGUCCUAAUUUUCCUUUGAAUAAACACGGGGAGAGUCUGUUCUCCAUAAUUUUCAUAAACAUGUAAUCUGGACAUACCCAAGUACUAUGUCUUCUGGGAUUUUCUUUCCAUUUUCUCCUUCUGUUGAUAAAUGGAUUCCACCAGGCACGGUGGCUCUUGCCUGUAAUCCCAGCACUUUGGGAUGCCAAGGCAGGAGGAUUGCUUGAGCCCAGGAGUUUGAGACCAGCCUGGGCAACAAAGUGAGACUUGUGAUUCCCAAUAAGUAAAAACAUUAGCCAGAUGUGGUGAAUCACAUGCCUGUAGUCCCACCUACUCAGGAGGCUGAGGCAGGAGGAUUGUUUGAGCCCAAGAGGAGCUGUGAUUAUGCUACUGCACUCCAGCCUGGCAACACAGCAAGACCCUGUCUCAAACAAAAAAGAAAAGAAAACAAACGGAUUCAAAUCUCGUCCCAUGUAACUCUGGAAUGUCCUGUUCGCUCUCUAAGAUUAUCAAAGAUUCCCAAGAGGGUUGCAUUCUCCUGGUUAUCUCCUACUGAUAGCAGCAGGAGACAGCCAAAUUCCUAGGCAGACAGGGGCAGGUCCUUGGUGAAACCUGAUGUUCAAGGCAAAGACAGCUUAGAGCCUGAAAACUGGGCUGCCAGUUCCAGGUUGGGUCCUCAACCCGAAGUGAGAACUUUCUUGAUACUAUUUAGCUAAUUGAAUGGUGCUUUUUCCAGGCCAGUCCGUGGACCACUCAGCACACACUCCCCUAUUCUGAGCCCAUAAAAACCCCAGACUCAGCGACAUGUCGGAACUACCUGCCUUUGGGUAGGGGCUACCCACUUAAGGUCCCCUCUGGUGUUAGCAGCUGUUUUGUCACUCAAUAAAACUCUUCUCCACCUUGCUCACGCUCUGGUUGUCCACAUAACCUCAUUCCUCUUGGACACAGGACAUGAACCUGGAGCCUGCCCGGAUGCGAAAGGAGCUGUAACACUGAAUCCCUCUCACCCUAUGCCAGUGCUGGAUGGCUGUCCCAUGUGAUGGGAAGUGGUGGUGGGGCCAGGCCAGCCCAGGAGCCAUCAUGGGCCAGAGUGGGGCAGCAGGACCAAACAAGCUAUAACACAAAUAAGCUGAAACAUGUUCCUGGCUGGCCUGCCAAGCUGCCAGCAGUGACAUGUUCCCAUUCGCCAGACUACAAGACAAGAGAGCUGUGACCCUUCUGGGGACCCAGACCUCGGGACUCCCUGAGUCAGAGCUGUGACAUGCUGUAACACCCCCUUGGGGCUCUGUGGUUGCUGGUGUCUCUGAGUUUUUGGGCACCACUGCAUUCCCCCUGUCCAGAUGCUGCUGCCUGGCCCAGCUACAGCCCCUCACAAAACUCACGCCUGUGCUGGUGCCUGGAGCUGCCCACCCCACUGCAGCAGCUGGCACACCUGGCUGUGCAUCAUGGCUGGACCCUACACUUGCUCACUCACACACCCCUUGCCAUUCUGUGCCUGGCUUGUCCACAGUGGGCAUGGGAUCUGGGCCAGUAGCGCAAGCUCAGUACAGCCUGCCAGGCCGAGUGGGUGGAGCCAGCUCAGCAGUCAAAAGUGAAACUCAGGCAGAGGCACCACUGGCCACAGAGGUUACCGAAAGAAUCGUGUGUCACUACUGUUAGCGGUGCCUAAUUUAUACAGGUCUGCAGCAACUUCAGUUCUUGCCUUCUAAGAAGAGAGAAUUCAACUGAGGUGGGUCAUAAGGCAGAGUCAGAGACUGAGGCAAGUUUUAAGCAGGAAUGAAAGUUUAUUAAAAAGUUUUAAGUAGGAAUGAGAGGAAGUAAAGUACACUUGGAAGAGGGCCAAGCAGGUGAUGUGAGAGAGUCAAGUGCCCAGUUUGACCUUUGACUUACAGUUUUGUAUGUUCCAGCAUCUUCUGUCCCUUCUCACCUGAUUCUUCCUUUGAAGUGGGCUGUCUGCAUGCACAGUGGCCUGCUAGCACAUGGGAGGGACCACAGGCACAGUGAGUUUACUGGAGUUGUAUGCAUGCUCAGGUGAGGCAUUCUUCCCUUACCAGUUGAGUGUUCCUAGAGGAAGGUCAUAUACCAGUUAAACUCUGCCAUUUUGGCUCUUAACGCACAUGCUUGAGACCACUCACCCAAUUCCUGAGAUCUUAUCGGAAAGCUGCUGAUCACCAGUUUCAGUUUUUUCCAUCUAUUGGGAGACUGCCUUUCUCUGGUGCCGGCUGCGACCCAUUAGUAUUUUGGAGAGACAGUUAACUACCUGACUAUCACCUGAUGGUUGCCUAAUGUUAGUAGGGGGGCAUCUCUCCUACCCUGCUCAUGUCUGCCUGACUACCUAAUGUAACACUACUUUAAAUUAUUAUUCUGGUUGAUUUCUUAGCCCCAAAGAUGAAUCAUCCCUCCUCCUUUCUUAUUUCCCAAAACAUUACUAACACAGGGUUAUUUUGUGUAGUACUUUUUAAAAAAUUAGAGAUAACCUAAGAGGCCACAGCACUGCACAAAAUGGGGAUCACCUUAAAGUUCAGUGUUAGGCAGCAUUGCCCCUGGCUAUUUCCAUCAUAAGUAAACAGCCUUCUUUCUCCAGAGCCCCCUCCUGCUGGCUUGUUGCUGGCCCCUCCUCUUCUUCUUGUUUAUUGUACAACAAAACCGCACAGGCAAAGCUUAAAAUUUGCUGGUACUUUAACUUGCAGAGAAAUUUAACUGCUUCCCUCAACCUCCUGCCCAUAUCAGAAUAGAGGCCUUUGUAUGCUAGAGUUUCCAAUACCAAAUAAUGGCAACAAUAAUAAAUAGUGACAACAUUUUACAUUAUAUAUUACUUUAAGUUAUAGCAAAGCAAAUUUUGAGUAGGGCUCUCUCCCCACCAGCAAGAUUCUUGGGAUCUUAUCGUUUGUGGGGAGGAAUCUGGAAACUGUAUUAUAAUAGACACCCUUUUAUCUGAUAUUAUUGAAUUGUUAGUAGGGUAACUAUUAACAAUUAAUUGAAAAGUCAGUUAAUACAAAGAUUCAUAAAAUGAUAUGUUUUAUAUUUUAUUAAAAUGUGUAACCUGUUCAUCUUUUGAUGUUGGGCUGAGUUUUCUUUUGAUUACUUAGUAAUUAGAGUUCUAGUGUUUCUUUUUUAUGAAUUCUAGCUAUAAUAUAUUUGAUACAGUGUCUUGUUUUUAUUUAAAAUAAAAUGAGAACUUAAUAUUUUAAAGCAAUCAUUGCAAAAUCCACUUAGAUUUUUACGAUUAUUUUUCACCAAUAUUUAUAUUUAUCUAAUAUCUUAUUUGACCACAGUCCUCUUUAGCAAUUUGCUUUUAGUUUUUCCAAAGUAGUCAAUUUAUGUGUCCUAGAAGUGACAACCAUCUUUUUUUUCAUUCAUUUAAUCAGUUUCAUUAUCUUUUAAUAUGCAGUUACAAUCGGAUGUAAAAUUAGCAUUAACAUCUUUGGG